rnacentral:piRNA from 1 species
UGGACCUAAGAAAGUGGCUCAUUACUUUCC